rnacentral:rRNA from 1 species
GUGUCAGCAGCCGCGGUAAUACAGAGGUCCCAAGCGUUGUUCGGAAUUACUGGGCGUAAAGCGUGCGUAGGCGGCGGGGUAAGUCGGGUGUGAAAUCUCAGGGCUCAACCCUGAAAUUGCAUUCGAUACUGCUUCGCUUGAGCUCUGAAGAGGAGGUUGGAAUUUACGGUGUAGCAGUGAAAUGCGUAGAUAUCGUAAGGAAGGCCGGUGGCGAAAGCGAACCUCUGGGCAGCAGCUGACGCUGUGGCACGAAGGCUAGGGGAGCAAACGGGAUUAGAAACCCCAGUAGUCC